rnacentral:lncRNA from 1 species
ACUCCUGAGCGGACACGUGGUCAUGGGCUCACAUGGUCAGAGGUGCUUUCUCCUCCGGGUUCUGUCUCCUUCAUCCUCUCUUCUUUUUGUCUUCUGGGCUACACUAGGUUCCUUACUGAGAGGAAAGACCUACUAGCCAGCCAGGUUCCUCAGGUGAUCCUGACACAGAGGGUUUCUGAGAACUGGAAGCAAUACAAAAUGGAAUUCCAAAAGCUGGGGACAUCUGCCUGCCUCCCAAGCUCCCUGGGACUGUUGACAAGAGCACUCACAAUGGUUAAACUGCCACAGCUGACUGAAGCCAGUGAGGACAGUCCAACACGUCAGCCUUAGGACUCAGAAGGACAGGUGGCUCAAACAGGUUUUCAGGAGUCUCCCUCCUGCCCGAGAGGAGCCCGGAAGUUCAGCAGAAGGAAGAGGGACUCUCCAUCCUCGUAGAAGCAAAAGGCUUUCUUUCUGUUUGCCUUUUACUGACUGCAGUGAAAGGCCUAGCCUAUGUCCAGUGCCCCAGGUCUUGGUGAAUAAGGUGUGGGCACCUACAAAAGCUAAUCCCUGCUCGUUGUCUCUAGCCACAACUCAAGGGUUCUGCAGCUUGUCUUUGGAAAUGAGUCAACCAACAGUUGGGGAGAAAAACUGUACCUCUAAAUCACUAAUGACACACCUUCAAGGCUUGUCCUUUCAUUUACCAAACCUGGAGUUUAACAACUCGAGACCACACUUCCUUGCCUGGUAAGCCUGUGUUUCACUGAGCUCAUAAAACUGAAGAAAAGGUCAGCAGGCUCGCUGCUCCCUCAAGGAGUCUCUGGCCCCCUGCUUUGGCCUACCCUCAUUUCCUUCUGCUUCCCUGAAGGACUAUUUGAAC